rnacentral:rRNA from 1 species
AUUGAACGCUGGCGGCAUGCUUUACACAUGCAAGUCGAACGGCAGCACAGGGAGCUUGCUCCCGGGUGGCGAGUGGCGCACGGGUGAGUAAUACAUCGGAACGUGUCCUGUUGUGGGGGAUAACUGCUCGAAAGGGUGGCUAAUACCGCAUGAGACCUGAGGGUGAAAGCGGGGGAUCGCAAGACCUCGCGCAAUUGGAGCGGCCGAUGCCCGAUUAGCUAGUUGGUGAGGUAAAGGCUCACCAAGGCGACGAUCGGUAGCUGGUCUGAGAGGACGACCAGCCACACUGGGACUGAGACACGGCCCAGACUCCUACGGGAGGCAGCAGUGGGGAAUUUUGGACAAUGGGGGCAACCCUGAUCCAGCCAUGCCGCGUGCAGGAUGAAGGCCUUCGGUUGUAAACUGCUUUGUCAGGGACGAAAAGGAAUCGUGAUAAUACCAUGGUCUGCUGACGGUACCUGAAGAAUAAG